rnacentral:snoRNA from 1 species
AACCUAAACAUGACAGUUGGGUUUUCAUGCUAUUGUAUGAUACCUGCCUCCCUCAAAACUUGUUACAUCAUCACAUCACUCACCUGACA